AACGAACGCUGGCGGCAGGCCUAACACAUGCAAGUCGAGCGCACUCUUCGGAGUGAGCGGCGGACGGGUGAGUAACGCGUGGGAAUAUGCCCUUCUCUGCGGAAUAGCCUCUGGAAACGGAGAGUAAUACCGCAUACGCCCUACGGGGGAAAGAUUUAUCGGAGAAGGAUUAGCCCGCGUUGGAUUAGGUAGUUGGUGGGGUAAUGGCCUACCAAGCCUACGAUCCAUAGCUGGUUUUUAGAGGACGAUCAGCCACACUGGGACUGAGACACGGCCCAG
rnacentral:rRNA from 1 species